AAUAUUGGACAAUGGGCGAAAGCCUGAUCCAGCCAUGCCGCGUGUGUGAAGAAGGUCUUCGGAUUGUAAAGCACUUUAAGUUGGGAGGAAGGGCAGUAAGUUAAUACCUUGCUGUUUUGACGUUACCGACAGAAUAAGCACCGGCUAACUUCGUGCCAGCAGCCGCGGUAAUACGAAGGGUGCAAGCGUUAAUCGGAAUUACUGGGCGUAAAGGGGGGGUUGGUGGGUUGGUAAGGUUGAAGGGGAAGCCCCGGGGUCAAACUGGGGACUGGUUUGAAAACCGGCAAGGUAGGGGAGGGGCGAGGGGGGUGGGAAUUUCUGGGUUGGGGUUAAAAGGCUAAAAAAGGGGAAGAAACCCAGGGGGGAAGGCGACCACCUGGGGUUAUACUUGCACUGGGGGGGCAAAGCGUGGGGAGCAAACAGG
rnacentral:rRNA from 1 species